rnacentral:ncRNA from 1 species
GAGAGCCGGAUGCGGGAAAUCCGCCAGUCCGGUUCGGAGGGAGGGGGGCCGACAGGCCUCCCUACCCCUAU